rnacentral:rRNA from 1 species
ACCCCGCUGAACUUAAGCAUAUCAAUAAGCGGAGGAAAAGAAACCAACAGGGAUUGCCCUAGUAACGGCGAGUGAAGCGGCAACAGCUCAGAUUUGAAAUCUGGCGUCUUUGGCGUCCGAGUUGUAAUCUGUAGAGGAUGCUUUUGGGUAGCCACCGGUCUAAGUCCCCUGGAACGGGGCGUCACAGAGGGUGAGAAUCCCGUAUGUGACCGGAAGGGCGCCCUCUACAUAGCUCCUUCGACGAGUCGAGUUGUUUGGGAAUGCAGCUCUAAAUGGGAGGUAAAUUCCUUCUAAAGCUAAAUACCGGCCAGAGACCGAUAGCGCACAAGUAGAGUGAUCGAAAGAUGAAAAGCACUUUGGAAAGAGAGUUAAAAAGCACGUGAAAUUGUUGAAAGGGAAGCGCUUGCAACCAGACUUGUUGGCGGUGUUCCGCCGGUCUUCUGACCGGUUUACUCACCGUCUGCAGGCCAGCAUCAUCUGGGGCCGCUGGAUAAAAGCGAGGGGAAUGUGGCUCCCCCGGGAGUGUUAUAGCCCCUCGUGCAAUACAGCGAGCCUCGGGUGAGGUCCGCGCUUCGGCUAGGAUGCUGGCGUAAUGGUCGUAAGCGGCCCGUCUUGAAACACGGACCAAGGAGUCUAACAUCUAUGCGAGUGUUCGGGUGUCAAACCCCUACGCGUAAUGAAAGUGAACGGAGGUGGGAGCCUUAGGGUGCACCAUCGACCGAUCCUGAUGUCUUCGGAUGGAUUUGAGUAAGAGCAUAGCUGUUGGGACCCGAAAGAUGGUGAACUAUGCCUGGAUAGGGUGAAGCCAGAGGAAACUCUGGUGGAGGCUCGCAGCUGGUUCUGACGUGCAAAUCGAUCGUCAAAUUUUGGGUAUAGGGGCGAAAGACCUAAUCGAAACCC